CUUUCUGCUCCUCUCAUUCUCAACACUGUUUCCUGCAAGGCCAAGCAGAGAAAGAAAUGCCUCCCUGGUCACAAUCGCUGAGAGGGAAAUUGAUUCCUCCCACCCUCUGGACCACUGGAGGCUCCCCUCAACCCACCAGCAUCUCCCUUCAUGAGCUCAAAAGCCAGGUCCCGAGGAGCCUGCACAAGACUACAGAAAUAAGAAAACGAAUAUGAGCCACGAUCUUUAAAAAAAAGAAAGAAGUCAUGGCUGGGAGUGGUGGCUCAUGCCUGUAAUCCCAGCACUUCGGGAGGCCAAAGCAGGCGGAUCACCUGAGGUCGGGAGUUCGAGACCAGCCUAACCAACAUGGAGAAAUCCCGUCUCUACUAAAAAUACAAAAAAUUAGCCAGGCAUGGUCGCGCAUGCCUGUAAUCCCAGCUACUCAGGAGGCUGAGGCAGGAGAAUUGCUUGAACCUGGGAGGCGGAUGUUGCGGUGAGCUGAGAUGGCACCAUUGCAUACUCCAGCCUGGCCAACAAGAGUGAAACUCCAUCUCAAAAAAAAAAAAAAAAAAAAGUCAACAAAGGAUAUUGACCACCCCCAGCUACAGAAGCUGGAGUUGGAGCUGCUCUGCCUGCUGCACUUUCUCUAACUCAGCACCUGCCCCGCAUGGUGGACUUAUAUGAAAACCUUCAAAUGGCUAGUCCUGGACCCCCACAGCACCUGCCUGCCUCUGCACCAACUCAGCACAGGACCUGAGUCUGCAUCAGGGAAACACCAGCCAUACCUGGGAGCAGGCCCUGCCUCCAGGUUCCUCACCCCCUUUGUUGGGGGAUGGGAGGGGCGGGACCAAGGCCCUCUGGGAACUAGUUCUCACCCCAUCUUGUUCCACAGGCUGCACAUUCCAUUCUGAGUCAAGCAGGGGGCGGGGACUGGGGGAGGUAAGGCAGAGGGGAGGAGAACAGUCGGGCCUCCUCUGGGGCGGAUCCCCCAGGGAGCUCCAGGCUUGGCAGGCAGGGAUUACGAUCAAAACCACCAGAGCGGGAGGGGAGCCAGGAGGGCUCCUGCCCAGUCUGUGGCCCCUUCCCCUCUCUCCUCUCAAGCCAAAACACUGACACCCUAGCUUGGACAUGUCCCCAGAAGACACAGGGGGACAAUGUUGGGGGUAACACCAAUACCCCUCCCCCUAACCCUGCCCCAAUCCCUUGGGCAGUUUAUAGGGCUUCAUGCCAAGGCUAUUUAAAUGCUAAGGCCACCGCUGGGGGGAGAGUGGAGGGAACUGAAUUCCAAAUUUGAUGACUUCCCAGUGUCAGACUUCCUGUGACCAAAAGGGCCUGGGUAUCCAAAGCUAUUUGGGAAGAAAGGUGGCAGCUGGAGAUACUGUCCCCACUUCUUCCUUCUUUUCCUCUACUAUGCCACACAAAUUCCGCUCCCCCAAAAAACACCCCUGGCUGAAGCCCUCAACAUGUGGGUACAGAUCUCGGGACGUCUCCUAGCUGUGCACACCCUGUGCACACCCAGGACUCUGAGAUACCAGGCCACACACACAGCACAUCCUGCAGCUUUGGUUUGCCCAUGGAUGACCUUAGGAGGAGGCAGGGGAAACCUCAGCCACUUCCUCCUCACCUCACAGCCUCUAGGAGGUCUGACCACUGCUGCUGUUCCAUCUGAGACCAUGGAGGUCCUCCCUGACAGCACCACAAUGUGCUCUUGCCAGGAGUGAGCAGGGAGGCAGGCCUCAGGGCAUUCCUAAAGCAGGAAGGACCCCCUGCCACCCACUAAGGCGGGAGAGCCACCUGGAGUAGCAGGUGGUAGCUACAAGGUUCUAUGCUGUGAGGCCAGGCUCGGUGGUUCUCACCUGUAAUCCCAGCACUUUGGGAGGCUGAGGUGGGCGGAUCACCUGAGGUCGGGGGUUCGAGACCAGCCAUGGCCAACAUGGUGAAACCCCAACUCUCCUAAAAAUACAAAAAUUAGCCGGGCGUGGUGGCGCAUGCCUGUAAUCCCAGCUACUCAGGAGGCUGAGGCAGGAGAAUUGUUUGAAUCCAGAAGGCGGAGGUUGCAGUGAGCCAAGAUUGCACCACUGCACUCAGGCCUGGGCGACAGAGCAAGACUCUGUCUCAAAAAAAAAAAAAAAAAAAAUGUUCUAUGCUGUGGACCACACCACAGGCUGGACAGAAAUCUUUUUUUUGUUUGUUUGUUUUUUGAGACGGAGUCUUGCUCCGUCACCCAGGCUGGAGUGCAGUGGCUCGAUCUUGGCCCCGGGUUCAUGCCAUUCUCCUGCCUCAACCUCCCCAGCAGCUGGGACUACAGGCACACGCCUCCACGCCCGGCUAAUUUUUUGUAUUUCUAGUAGAGACAGGGUUUCACCGUCUUAGCCAGGAUGGUCUCGAUCUCCUGACCUCGUGAUCCGCCCGCCUUGGCCUCCCAAACUGCUGGGAUUACAGGCGUGAGCCACCGUGCCCGGCCCAGAAAUCUUUUCCUAGGGGAGCUGCAAAGGCUUCAUCACCAUGGGGCUUUAAGCUGGGUCCAUGGCAUACAGCAAGUGCUCUUAGGAGGGAACUACCAUAUCUCUGCUCCUCAGAGAAAGUAUUUGCAUUUUUUAAAAAGCAGUCACUCUUUAUCAGAGAAGCUGACAGAGGUCGGAGGAACCCUGCUGAGCUGGCCUAUAGCAAUCUCUGAAUCAAGUCUUCCCAAGAACUAAGGAAGGGCCAGUCAAAAGGGGGGUAGUCACCGAGGCAAAGACCACCAUCUAGAGCAUGCCUUCCUGCUUCGGGGCAGGGAGCUGACAGGAGAGGGAAAGCAAUCCUCCAUGGGUCUAGUUCCCCAUCUGGUAAAAGGCACUGUGAUGGCCUCCCUGGCUGACACAUCCGGGUUCCAGAAAGGGGACUAGCAAAGGGUGAGGACCGCAACGAGUUCAGGCAGGAGCGAGCCCUCUUAAGCAAACACUGGGCACAAAAAUAACUCCCAUUCAAAGCACGAUUUACUGUGUGCCUGGCCGGCCCUCCCAGCACAGAGCCCUUUUCAAACACUCAGCUUCACCCCUGAAUGUGGCUGGGGGAGGGGGCUCAGGAGCACAGCUGCAUUUGAAUUCCACUUUUUCCGGUGGUGUCAGCUUCCUGGAGACUUACCCAGGGGAGCUGCCCAAUAAGGACCGAUCUCAAAGCACCCCCAGAGAGGAGAAAAUCUUUGUAGAAUCCAGUGUCAGCCUCUCAAGGGCAAGGACACCUAGAUCCCUUGGUGGAAUAGGCCUAGCUCAACCGACACUUGUCUGGCAACAGAAAACCCCAGAGCCCUUACCAUUCAUGGAGCACUGCUGCCGCAGACAUCAUCAGCCAUUAGCCUCCCAACAGUUCUAAGAGGAAGGUAUUGGCCGGGGGCAGUGGCUCAUGCCUGUAAUCCCAGCACUUUGAGAGGCCGAGGAGGGCGGGAUAAUUUGAGGUCAGGAGUUCGAGACCAGCCAAACCAACACGGUGAAACGCCGUCUCUACUAAAAAUACAAAAAAAUUAGCCAGGUGUGGUGGCACACACCUGUAGUCCCAGUUACUCGGGAGGCUGAGGCAGGAGAAUUGCUUGAACUCAGGAGGUGGAGGUUGCAGUGAGCCAAGAUCACACCACUGCACUCCAGUCUGGGCGACAGAGUAAGAGUCUAUCUCAAAACAAACAAACAAACAAGCAAACAAACAAACAAAAGUAAUUCACGACCAUUGUAGAAAAGUGAAAAAACAAAUGGAAGAUAAAGAAAGAAAUUAAAACCAUCCAUACGUCCAGUAUCCAGAGCUAACCUCUGUAAAUAUUCUGAUGCAUCCUCCCAGAUUCUGUCCUUGCGUGUGUGCAUGAUAGCCAUGUGUAUACUUACAAUUCUCUGUACAAGAUUAAGAUUGUACUCUGUAGUUUUAUAUCCUG
rnacentral:lncRNA from 1 species